AGAAAAGGGAGAAGGAAGAACAAGAGUCAGCAACAGAUUAUUAGAGCUGCUGGAAUUAUUGGUUCCAAAAAACCAUCAACAAAGGAGGUCGAGUAUCUGUCAAGUUUCGACGAGGUAUUAAUGUAAUUUUUUUUCAAUGACACAAAAACUUCAAAAUGUUGAUAGGUUCUUAUAUGAAUACCUACAACGGAGAUCAGAAGAUCCAAUGGUUGAGGGAUCCGAAAGCAAGCAUGGAAGUCCAAAAUCUUCAAAGAAGAAGGGAAGGAAUGGACAUCCAAAGGAAGAGACUGUUGUGAAGAAAAAGUCGAGGAUAAAGAGCUUGGUAAUCUGUCUUAUUUAAAUUGAUUUUCUAAGAAAUACAGUCAAAUUUUUUAGGUUGAGGUAUGUGUAGGUUGCAAAAAGAAAAUUUGUGAGACCGACACGUGAAGAAGAAAAGGAAUAAGCAAAAAAGGAAGAGAUGGUAUGUUGUCUACAUUGUUCUACUUCAAUUAAUACAAUGUAGUGUAAUUAGUAAAUUGAUAAUAGAACCUUUACCAACAAAUCUUGUUGAAUAGAAUAAUAUUGAAAAAGUGAACAAGACAAACAAUAAGAACAAGAUGAACAUGAAGAAGGACAAGGUGAAACAAAUAUGAAUGAGGAAUGUAGUUUAAAAACCAAAAAAACAACUUAAACAAAGGAAGAAUCAAUAGUGAAUAGAAAGAGAAAAAAUGAUACAACAAAGGAAAAGAAGGUAACAGUCUAUAACAUUUGAUAAAUAUAAAAGUUAUAUGGAAUAUAUAAAUCAUAGGUCAAAAGUGCUAAAAAGGAAGAAAAUGUCAAAGAGGAUAAAAGACACAAAGGGAAAGCACCAAUGGCACAUGAAAAGGCUGAGGUAUGUGUGAUAAAUUGCAGAGUAUGUGUAAAUUCAAUAUAAGUAGAACAUAAUGUAUGUGGUUUCUGUUUGGUAUCAAUUACACUGUAUUUGUGAAUAUUUGUUGUUUGUGACCCCAUCUAUUUUGAAAUAUAUUGAAUCUGUUUGUAGUGAAUUACAUUGUAUUUGUGUAUACUGGUUGCAACGUUAUAAGUUAUGGAGUGGGAUACUUUGAACUGUAGUUAACUUAUAAUUUUUGUUGCAUUGUUUUGUUUCACUGACUGAUAGUUUUGCAUUGCAUUGUUAUGUUUAAGUCUAACUUUUCUGGCUGGCUAGGUUAUUACGAUCUAAUUUUGUUGCAUCAUUCUUUCACCGGCUAACCAACAACAUGCAAAUUUUGUUGCAUUGCAUUGUUCCUUUUAAGUCUAACUUUUCUGGCUGACUAGGUUGCAUUGUUUUGAACUGAUUUGGCAUUGUUCUGUUUAAGUCUAACUAACAGCAUGUAAAUUUUGUUACUUUGCAUUUUUCUGUUUAAGUCUAACUUUUAUGGGUCAUUGGUUGACUGAGUUGUAAUGAACUAUACUUGGUUAUGUAUAUUAAGAUUUUUUUUUUCUUUUUUAAUAUGAUUGGCCUUUUACAUAUAUAACUUAUUACAUAUUAAUAUUAGGACUCUGUAUACCUAAUGUGUUCUGAAAGGAGAAAUGAACCUCUAAAGAUUAAUCUCCAAACUAAGAGCACAAUAAUUGAUAAGAUAAAGGAGAACAUUGAAGGUACACUAGCUAAAAGAUUUAGGCAAGGAAUUUUUGGACAUUUCCUUGACUUCUCAAUCACAAUCUAAUCCAAUCAACUUCUGCUGCACCAUAUUCAAAGGAUAUGCAAACUAAAAUCAACAAGCCAACUUAAUUUUUUAAUAGGAGGGGGAGGGUGCUGAAAUUUGGGUUGAAAGAGUUUUCCCUAGUAACUAAACUAAACUGCCAUGGAGUACCAGAUAUUAAAGAGGAAGAUAUUAAGGAGCAUGGCCAUUUGAAGAGAGUGUACUUCGAGAGCCUGAAAACUGUUACCAAAUAGUACUUAAGUGUUAUGUUAAUGUAAGAACUACUAAAACCGAUAUGAUGAUUGCCUAAAGAUGGAAAAGUUGUAUUUUCUUGAGAGCUUUCUAAUCCCAAAAGAAGAGAGCCUAAAUAUAUAAUGGGAUCACACUCUAAUGGUUGAUGAUGAUGAGUUGUUUGACGGGUAUCCGUGGGAAAGGGUGGCAUUUGACCUUCUGGUGGAAUUUAUGAAUAGAGGUGUGUCUAGCAAGGGGCAGACUGGGAAUUCAAUGGGAGGGUUUAUUUUCUCAAUCCUGGCUUGCGAGUACGAGGUAAUCCCAAAGUUGAGUACCCCACCCAACUUCUUUGCAAGAAAGAUUUUGAAUCAAGUUCCUAGAAUCAUUACUUGAGCUGCAAAUACACAACCAAAGUGGAAGGACCUGAAGCAAAAGGUUUUUUAUUCACCCACGGUAUGUAAUUCUUCAAUCAUAGUUAGUACCUAUACUUAUUCCCUGCUUUGGUACUUAGAAAAUAUUUUUAGCUUGAAGUCUGCCUCAUACUUGCUACACCUAAUGAAGUGGGAAGGCCAUAUUUUGCACCCUUUCUUGAGGCUGAAAAAAGAAUACUACAAGAAGUCGAAGAUGAACUUAGAAAGAGCCAACCAACUAACAGAGUUGCUCAAAUGUCAUUAAAUAGAGGCAUGCCCUCUAUAAGUCAGAUGGAUGGAUUGACCAAAAUUGUAGAAAAAUUUGAAAAAAGCCAAGAUAGAAUGGAAAAAAUAUGGGAGAGAUCUAUGAAUUUUUUAAGUCUGUAGAGAUGAAGAUGGAUAGAAAGGUUGAAGAGCUAGGAAACAAAUUGAACGACAUUAUUCAACAAAUGAAGAGUCAGGAAGUUAGUUCUUCUGUUGCACGAUAGACUAACGAGUAUAUGAGACUUUGAAGAGCACCUAGACAGAGUAGAGAAGAACAUAGAAGCAGAAGUAGAAAAAGAAGAAGAUGAAAAAAUGGACUUGUAAUCAACAGAGUCGAACGUGCUUAGGAAAAAAGAUGAGGACUGAGAUGACAAAGAAAAUGGAAACAUAGCUGUAAAUCAAAGCCAAACUUUCAAAGUGCCAGAUGGGGGAUCAACUAAAUUGAACACAUCAGAGACAACGACUGACCAACAAGGAAAAGGGGGACAGAUCUCACCAUACAAGUAUCCACAGGAUCAAUCUUCAUUGAAUUCAACCACAGAAAUAAUGAAGAAAGUGCAACCAACCUUGGGCAAAAUAAAGAACGACCACAAAAGUCCAAGUUGAAGGAAGGUUGCCAAGUGAGGACAGACUUCCAAAUAGAGACAAGAAUAAUCCAGCCAUCCAGCCAUGAGGGUUAUACUAAGCAUAUUCCAUACUAAAAAGGAUUAAUUAUUCUAUGUAAGUUAUAAUUAAUUAUCCUAUACUAAUGAACUUCAUUUUUUUGUUGAUAGUUGUAAAGGAAUAAGAGCCCUCUUGAGCGAAAGAUUUAAACAGAGACCAUAAACUCAAUUUAAUUUGGGAACCUAAAAAUACCAUUACUUUGACAAGAUAAUACAAAAA